UGUCCUCCAUAGGAGGUCUAUAUUGAGCAGAUUUUUUUUUGGUGUUGGGUGGUGGAACUGGAGCUUGUUCCAUCCACUCCACGCAUUGACCUGGUAUUGCAGUGCUUUCAGGACUGGUGC
rnacentral:snRNA from 1 species